AAGUCGAGCGGACAGAAGGGAGCUUGCUCCCGGAUGUUAGCGGCGGACGGGUGAGUAACACGUGGGUAACCUGCCUGUAAGACUGGGAUAACUCCGGGAAACCGGAGCUAAUACCGGAUAGUUCCUUGAACCGCAUGGUUCAAGGAUGAAAGACGGUUUCGGCUGUCACUUACAGAUGGACCCGCGGCGCAUUAGCUAGUUGGUGGGGUAAUGGCUCACCAAGGCGACGAUGCGUAGCCGACCUGAGAGGGUGAUCGGCCACACUGGGACUGAGACACGGCCCAGACUCCUACGGGAGGCAGCAGUAGGGAAUCUUCCGCAAUGGACGAAAGUCUGACGGAGCAACGCCGCGUGAGUGAUGAAGGUUUUCGGAUCGUAAAGCUCUGUUGUUAGGGAAGAACAAGUGCGAGAGUAACUGCUCGCACCUUGACGGUACCUAACCAGAAAGCCACGGCUAACUACGUGCCAGCAGCCGCGGUAAUACGUAGGUGGCAAGCGUUGUCCGGAAUUAUUGGGCGUAAAGGGCUCGCAGGCGGUUUCUUAAGUCUGAUGUGAAAGCCCCCGGCUCAACCGGGGAGGGUCAUUGGAAACUGGGAAACUUGAGUGCAGAAGAGGAGAGUGGAAUUCCACGUGUAGCGGUGAAAUGCGUAGAGAUGUGGAGGAACACCAGUGGCGAAGGCGACUCUCUGGUCUGUAACUGACGCUGAGGAGCGAAAGCGUGGGGAGCGAACAGGAUUAGAUACCCUGGUAGUCCACGCCGUAAACGAUGAGUGCUAAGUGUUUAGGGGGUUUCCGCCCCUUAGUGCUGCAGCUAACGCAUUAAGCACUCCGCCUGGGGAGUACGGUCGCAAGACUGAAACUCAAAGGAAUUGACGGGGGCCCGCACAAGCGGUGGAGCAUGUGGUUUAAUUCGAAGCAACGCGAAGAACCUUACCAGGUCUUGACAUCCUCUGACAACCCUAGAGAUAGGGCUUUCCCUUCGGGGACAGAGUGACAGGUGGUGCAUGGUUGUCGUCAGCUCGUGUCGUGAGAUGUUGGGUUAAGUCCCGCAACGAGCGCAACCCUUGAUCUUAGUUGCCAGCAUUUAGUUGGGCACUCUAAGGUGACUGCCGGUGACAAACCGGAGGAAAGGGGGGAUGACGUCAAAUCAUCAUGCCCCUUAUGACCUGGGCUACCACCGUGCUACAAUGGACAGAACAAAGGGCUGCGACCGCAGGUUAGCCAAUCCAUAAAUCUGUUCAAUUCGGAUCCGA
rnacentral:rRNA from 1 species